rnacentral:rRNA from 1 species
UACAGAGGGGGCAAGCGUUGUUCGGAAUUACUGGGCGUAAAGGGCGCGUAGGCGGCCUUCUAAGUCGAACGUGAAAUCCCCGGGCUCAACCCGGGAACUGCGUCCGAUACUGGAAGGCUUGAAUCCGGGAGAGGGAUGUGGAAUUCCAGGUGUAGCGGUGAAAUGCGUAGAUAUCGUAAGGAAGACCAGUGGCGAAGGCGAAUCUCUGGACAGUUACUGACACUGAGGCACGAAGGCCAGGGGAGCAAACGGG